rnacentral:tRNA from 1 species
GGCUUCGUAGCUCCGUUGGUAGAGCACUUGAUUGAAGCUCAAGGUGUCGGCAGGUAGCUUCUGUCCCAAGCCA